GUGGCCAGCAGAGGGACAGAGCAGCCUUCCAAGGAGACCAAGAAAGAUCUGAACUUUCAUGAGGCCCAGCUUGGAGGCCGUGCCCUACCCUCCCCCACUCCCCCCAGGGCACUGAUAACCCCGACCUCUCCCACUGCAAAUCUCCUCUCCUAGCCUGUCCUCUCCCCUUCUCUCGCAGCUGCAGCUGCCGCCAGCCUCUCCCUCUCCUCCCUCCACCCCUCACCAUCCCCAGGGAGCAGUGAGCUCAGCCUUUCCCAUCAGCCAUCCCUGGGAAUGAUGGGAAAUGCGAGGCAGGCCAGGAACCAGCAGAGGCCUGCCCCAGAGAGGGAGGAGGAGAACACGGGCUUUUCUGAGGGCCACUGGGGGCGUCUUGGGGGCAGGGCUCCAUUCCGCUGCUUGCAAUGAAGCCCAGGCUGCCGUAAGAGCACAGUCUGCCUGUCCUUACCACUGGCUCUAAAUAAGGUGGGAUCCAACUGCUGGAGCUGGGAUGGGCCUCUUUUUCUGGAUGGGAAGACAGAGGUCCAGAGAGAGGAGGGAAAGGAAGUAUGUCUGGGAGCUGACUGCCACAUCCCAGGCACUGUUGGAGCCUUUCACGUCCUUUGUCUCAUUGGAUCCUUACCACUACCCUGCAAGUUAAAGAAAGGACUCCUCUAAGGGAUCAAGCCUGGGCUAGAGGGGUUCCUGAUCAAAACCUGAGCUCUCCACUUCCACACUGACGGAGGCAAGAGGAGCCACUGGGCGCUGAGCACUCUUCCUGCAGGCGACACUGUGCUGGGCUUCUGUGCAAUGACUUCUACCUCUGCACAGCCACCUGAGGGGACCAGGAGACCCAUCCUGCUGAAGGGGAAGCUGAGGUACUAAGUUAUUGGGCGACUGUUUAUGCAGCAGAAGACAAAUGCAACAACUCAUUGAAAUUUACCUGGCAGGAACUUCCCCUCCCCCAAGAAGCUGCACCUUAGCCAAAAGAAAGGUGCUCAGAGUAUAGCAGGCAGCUGCCGAGCCUGGGACGUUUGCAACUUCCAGGAUUCUGCCUUCGGAGAGCCAUCGGAGAGCUUCAAAGCUAAUCAUCUCAGCAUUAUUUACAAUAGCAAAAAAAAAAAAACAAAA